AGAGUUUGAUCCUGGCUCAGAACGAACGCUGGCGGCAGGCUUAACACAUGCAAGUCGAACGCGUGUAGCAAUACACGAGUGGCGCACGGGUGAGUAACGCGUGGAUAUCUGCCUUUUGGUUCGGAAUAACCCCGGGAAACUGGGGCUAAUACCGGAUGGUUCCUUCGGGAUAAAGAUUUAUCGCCAAAAGAUGAGUCCGCGUCCGAUUAGCUAGUUGGUGAGGUAAUGGCUCACCAAGGCGACGAUCGGUAGCUGGUCUGAGAGGACGAUCAGCCACACUGGGACUGAGACACGGCCCAGACUCCUACGGGAGGCAGCAGUGGGGAAUAUUGGACAAUGGGGGCAACCCUGAUCCAGCCAUGCCGCGUGAGUGAUGAAGGCCUUCGGGUUGUAAAGCUCUUUUGGCGGGGACGAUGAUGACGGUACCCGUAGAA
rnacentral:rRNA from 1 species